AUGAACGCUAGCGACAGGCUUAACACAUGCAAGUCGAGGGGCAGCACAGGUAGCAAUACCGGGUGGCGACCGGCGCACGGGUGAGUAACGCGUAUGCAACUUACCUAUCAGAGGGGGAUAACCCGGCGAAAGUCGGACUAAUACCGCAUGAAGCAGGGGCCCCGCAUGGGGAUAUUUGCUAAAGAUUCAUCGCUGAUAGAUAGGCAUGCGUUCCAUUAGGCAGUUGGCGGGGUAACGGCCCACCAAACCGACGAUGGAUAGGGGUUCUGAGAGGAAGGUCCCCCACAUUGGUACUGAGACACGGACCAAACUCCUACGGGAGGCAGCAGUGAGGAAUAUUGGUCAAUGGCCGAGAGGCUGAACCAGCCAAGUCGCGUGAGGGAUGAAGGUUCUAUGGAUCGUAAACCUCUUUUAUAAGGGAAUAAAGUGCGGGACGUGUCCCGUUUUGUAUGUACCUUAUGAAUAAGGAUCGGCUAACUCCGUGCCAGCAGCCGCGGUAAUACGGAGGAUCCGAGCGUUAUCCGGAUUUAUUGGGUUUAAAGGGUGCGUAGGCGGCCUUUUAAGUCAGCGGUGAAAGUCUGUGGCUCAACCAUAGAAUUGCCGUUGAAACUGGGGGGCUUGAGUAUGUUUGAGGCAGGCGGAAUGCGUGGUGUAGCGGUGAAAUGCGUAGAUAUCACGCAGAACCCCGAUUGCGAAGGCAGCCUGCCAAGCCAUGACUGACGCUGAUGCACGAAAGCGUGGGGAUCAAACAGGAUUAGAUACCCUGGUAGUCCACGCAGUAAACGAUGAUCACUAGCUGUUUGCGAUACACAGUAAGCGGCACAGCGAAAGCGUUAAGUGAUCCACCUGGGGAGUACGCCGGCAACGGUGAAACUCAAAGGAAUUGACGGGGGCCCGCACAAGCGGAGGAACAUGUGGUUUAAUUCGAUGAUACGCGAGGAACCUUACCCGGGCUUAAAUUGCAGAUGAAUUACGGUGAAAGCCGUAAGCCGCAAGGCAUCUGUGAAGGUGCUGCAUGGUUGUCGUCAGCUCGUGCCGUGAGGUGUCGGCUUAAGUGCCAUAACGAGCGCAACCCUUGCCACUAGUUACUAACAGGUGAUGCUGAGGACUCUGGUGGGACUGCCAGCGUAAGCUGCGAGGAAGGCGGGGAUGACGUCAAAUCAGCACGGCCCUUACAUCCGGGGCGACACACGUGUUACAAUGGCGUGGACAAAGGGAGGCCACCUGGCGACAGGGAGCGAAUCCCCAAACCACGUCUCAGUUCGGAUCGGAGUCUGCAACCCGACUCCGUGAAGCUGGAUUCGCUAGUAAUCGCGCAUCAGCCAUGGCGCGGUGAAUACGUUCCCGGGCCUUGUACACACCGCCCGUCAAGCCAUGGGAGCCGGGGGUACCUGAAGUCCGUAACCGCGAGGAUCGGCCUAGGGUAAAACUGGUGACUGGGGCU
rnacentral:rRNA from 1 species